rnacentral:rRNA from 1 species
UACGUAGGGGCCUAGCGUUGUCCGGAUUUAUUGGGCGUAAAGAGCUCGUAGGCGGUUUGGUGAGUCGGGUGUGGAAUCUCCACGCUCAACGUGGAGGAGCCACCCGAUACUGCCAUGACUAGAGUCCGGUAGGGGAGUGUGGAAUUCCCGGUGUAGCGGUGAAAUGCGCAGAUAUCAGGAGGAACACCUGUGGUGUAGACAGCUUACUGGACCAUUUCUGACGCUGAGACACGAAAGCGUGGGUAGCAAACAGG